rnacentral:rRNA from 1 species
GAUGAACGCUGGCGGCGUGCCUAAUACAUGCAAGUCGAGCGAACAGACGAGGAGCUUGCUCCUCUGACGUUAGCGGCGGACGGGUGAGUAACACGUGGAUAACCUACCUAUAAGACUGGGAUAACUUCGGGAAACCGGAGCUAAUACCGGAUAAUAUAUUGAACCGCAUGGUUCAAUAGUGAAAGACGGUUUUGCUGUCACUUAUAGAUGGAUCCGCGCCGCAUUAGCUAGUUGGUAAGGUAACGGCUUACCAAGGCAACGAUGCGUAGCCGACCUGAGAGGGUGAUCGCCCACACUGGAACUGAGACACGGUCCAGACUCCUACGGGAGGCAGCAGUAGGGAAUCUUCCGCAAUGGGCGGAAGCUUGACGGAGCAACGCCGCGUGAGUGAUGAAGGUCUUCGGAUCGUAAAACUCUGUUAUUAGGGAAGAACAAAUGUGUAAGUAACUAUGCACGUCUUGACGGUACCUAAUCAGAAAGCCACGGCUAACUACGUG